GUAGACUCAAGUGUAAGCUUACAUGUGCCUUUGGGGGGCGACGAACACGCGGAGGCCAAUGGGAUCGGCGCGGCCAUUUUUAGAGGACUCCGCGAGGCAAAGCGUGGUCUGAAACCGCUGGUAGCAUUCAGUUUGAAGCAGCCGGCCGGUCAGGAGCCUUUCCUCUCCGUUUCGUCUCGCGAUCAUCAGCGAUCAUCAUCCUGCAAUUUGCUCAACUUUAGUCCAACCGAUCUUUCAUUCUGACUAGUGAAUUCCAACCAGGCGGCUGGUGACAACUUAUCAGUGGAUUACGCAACCCCCAGAAAAUUCCCACGGUUUAGCGCUGAAGGACACCUUAGCUGGACUACGAAGUCCGGGGAGCGGAGCCUUCGCGAAGAAAGUGGCAGACCCUGUUCCGGAUGGGCCGAACGGGGUAUUUUUGGUUCGCAAGAGGAUUGCGUUAGCGUUAGGGUAUCCGCUGGCAGCCGAGCUCAAGUCAGAAAUAGACGGCUCUCCAUGGGUUCGAGCGUCCAUGUGGACGAUCCUGAUCGCUAUUUACUGACCUGCCGUGACUACCAUGUGGUCGCCAGCUUUAUUUAAGGCUCCCAGACGCCGAGCCCGGCCGCAUGCGCUAGAUUUUAUUCUUGCAGAUGGAAGAGGACUCCAGUGAGAGGGAAAAGUGUUUCCAGAAUAAUUGGAGAGAGAGAGAGAGAGAGAGAGGGUAAUCCUCUUGUAACAAUUUUUCUCUGUAAGUAGUUUCCGGAUUCCAGAUUGAAAGUGCGAUAACCACGUGAGGGUUGCUUGGGCAGAAUGGGAACAGGAAGCCAAAAGAAGAUCGUCUUUCGACGAGUCAAAAAUAGGACGUGUGUUCGGACGCCGCCACGUUUCCAUAAAUGAGUUCUCCGGUUACAAGGUCUAUUUCCGGUCCAUGCCGACAACAGGAGGCUCGGAAGUCACGGUGCAACAGGAAGAUUUUUAUUUCAUCUAAAAUCUAAAACGUGAUCAGAUUAUGUAGAUCUUGCUUGAUUAUUUGAUUUUAAUUAGAAGUAAAAAGUAAAUUGGGUAUGAAUUUCUGAAGUUACUGUAAUGUAUUCUAACAUCUUGUAUAAUAUUAUGUAUAAAUAAUAAGUAAAUGAGUGCUGAUGCGUUAUUCCUUAUAACAA